UGCAGUCGAACGAAGUAGCAAUACUUAGUGGCAGACGGGUGAGUAACAUGUAGGUAUCUACCCUUUGGCCUGGAAUAACACGAGGAAACUUGUGCUAAUACCGGAUAAGUCUUUACAGAGAAAGCUUUAUGCACCAUUGGAUGAGCCUGCACUUGAUUAGUUUGUUGGUGGGGUAAUGGCCUACCAAGACUGUGAUCAAUAGCUGAUUUGAGAGGAUGAUCAGCCACAUUGGGACUGAGACACGGCCCAAACUCCUACGGGAGGCAGCAGUGGGGAAUCUUGCACAAUGGAGGAAACUCUGAUGCAGCGAUGCCGCGUGAGUGAAGAAGGCCCUUGGGUUGUAAAGCUCUUUCGUCGGGGAAGAAAAUGACUGUACCCGAAUAAGAAGGUCCGGCUAACUUCGUGCCAGCAGCCGCGGUAAUACGAAGGGACCUAGCGUAGUUCGGAAUUACUGGGCUUAAAGAGUUCGUAGGUGGUUGAAAAAGUUGGUGGUGAAAUCCCAGAGCUUAACUCUGGAACUGCCAUCAAAACUUUUCAGCUAGAGUAUGAUAGAGGAAAGCAGAAUUUCUAGUGUAGAGGUGAAAUUCGUAGAUAUUAGAAAGAAUACCAAUUGCGAAGGCAGCUUUCUGGAUCGUUACUGACACUGAGGAACGAAAGCAUGGGUAGCGAAGAGGAUUAGAUACCCUCGUAGUCCAUGCCGUAAACGAUGUGUGUUAGACGUUGGAAAUUUAUUUUCAGUGUCGCAGCGAAAGCGAUAAACACACCGCCNGGGGAGUACGANCGCANGGUUAAAACUCAAAUGANUUGACGGGGNCCCGCACAAGUAGUGGANCAUGUGGUUUAAUUCGAAGANACGCGCAGAANCUUACCNACACUUGACNUGNUCGUCGCGACUUNNNANAUUAAAGUUUU
rnacentral:rRNA from 1 species